UUAGUCACUAAGUUGUGUUUGACACUUUUUGCAACCCCAUGGACUGUAACCCAUCAGGCUCCUCUGUCCAUGGGAUUUCCCAGACAAGAAUACUGGAAUGGGUUUCUAUUUUCCUUCUCCAGGGGAUCUUUCUGACCCACAUUGAUACCCACAUCUUCUGCAUUGGCAGCUGGGUUCUUUUCCACUGAGCCACCAGAGAAGCCCCAUAUGUCAAGCAACAAAUCAACAGAAAUUCAUGUGAAAAUCAUUGACCACCAUAUGCUGCUCCAGCUUCCUUCAGCUCCUAAUUCUAGGAGCUUGACAACUAAAGCAAACCACAGACAGCCACAGGCACUCACUGCCAGCCCUGACAAAAAAAAUCACAAAAGUCACCUCACAGGGAUUUUAUGGCUUUGGAUUGAACCACGAAGUAUUGGAUAUAUUUCAUACAAAAGCACUAUGGAAUGCAACUCAGUACAAGCAAGUCAUUCACAGGUAGUACAUCAAUACUCAGUGGUGGUCAGAAUUUGCUACCGACUACAAUUUUGCCUCAUAGAAUAAUGAAGACCUCCAUCAGGUUCUGCAGAGCUCCUUUACUUUCCUGAAAUGUAACAAAUAACAAUUAAUUAUAU
rnacentral:lncRNA from 1 species